CUCCGAUAGAUAAGUUGACAUCUUUCCCAGUGUUCUCAGGAUACUUUGUUUCUGUACUGUAAUCCAGUUAAUACUGUUUUAUAAUCCUAUUUGCUCAACUAGUAUCCUACACUAAAAUGUAAGUGCUUGAAAUAGGAAAUAUCGCCGGGAAGUUAGGCCGGCCCGAUCCACCAUGGGAAGGAGAACCACGCCUGCUCCCGACCCAGCAGCCAUCGCUCAAGCGCCAGGAAGGCAAAGAUACCAAGGGCCUUAAUACAUGAAACUUUCAAAGUCCCAAGCCACAUAAGAAGUUUGGACAAUUCUCGGCUAAGCACACAAGCUUCUGAGUUUGUAUUGAAACUUGUUAGAACUCUGAACCUUUGCAAAUUCCCC
rnacentral:lncRNA from 1 species